CCAGACAACUAGGAUGUUGGCUUAGAAGCAGCCAUCAUUUAAAGAGUGCGUAAUAGCUCACUAGUCGAGUGACACUGCGCCGAAAAUGUACCGGGGCUAAACAUAUUACCGAAGCUGUGGAUUGUCCUUUGGACAAUGGUAGGAGAGCGUUCUAAGGGCGUUGAAGCAUGAUCGUAAGGACAUGUGGAGCGCUUAGAAGUGAGAAUGCCGGUGUGAGUAGCGAAAGACGGGUGAGAAUCCCGUCCACCGAUUGACUAAGGUUUCCAGAGGAAGGCUCGUCCGCUCUGGGUUAGUCGGGUCCUAAGCUGAGGCCGACAGGCGUAGGCGAUGGAUAACAGGUUGAUAUUCCUGUACCACCUAUAAUCGUUUUAAUCGAUGGGGGGACGCAGUAGGAUAGGCGAAGCGUGCGAUUGGAUUGCACGUCUAAGCAGUAAGGCUGAGUAUUAGGCAAAUCCGGUACUCGUUAAGGCUGAGCUGUGAUGGGGAGAAGACAUUGUGUCUUCGAGUCGUUGAUUUCACACUGCCGAGAAAAGCCUCUAGAUAGAAAAUAGGUGCCCGUACCGCAAACCGACACAGGUAGUCAAGAUGAGAAUUCUAAGGUGAGCGAGCGAACUCUCGUUAAGGAACUCGGCAAAAUGACCCCGUAACUUCGGGAGAAGGGGUGCUCUUUAGGGUUAACGCCCAGAAGAGCCGCAGUGAAUAGGCCCAAGCGACUGUUUAUCAAAAACACAGGUCUCUGCUAAACCGUAAGGUGAUGUAUAGGGGCUGACGCCUGCCCGGUGCUGGAAGGUUAAGAGGAGUGGUUAGCUUCUGCGAAGCUACGAAUCGAAGCCCCAGUAAACGGCGGCCGUAACUAUAACGGUCCUAAGGUAGCGAAAUUCCUUGUCGGGUAAGUUCCGACCCGCACGAAAGGCGUAACGAUUUGGGCACUGUCUCAACGAGAGACUCGGUGAAAUCAUAGUACCUGUGAAGAUGCAGGUUACCCGCGACAGGACGGAAAGACCCCGUGGAGCUUUACUGUAGCCUGAUAUUGAAAUUCGGCACAGCUUGUACAGGAUAGGUAGGAGCCUUUGAAACGUGAGCGCUAGCUUACGUGGAGGCGCUGGUGGGAUACUACCCUAGCUGUGUUGGCUUUCUAACCCGCACCACUUAUCGUGGUGGGAGACAGUGUCAGGCGGGCAGUUUGACUGGGGCGGUCGCCUCCUAAAAGG
rnacentral:rRNA from 1 species